GAAACUAUUGUUCUUCUUGCAUGUGGGGUUCCUACAUAGAAAACUCGAAAUAGAAAAACAUAACAAAUAAAAUCUACUAUUAAUCCUACUCCUAGAAAAAUAAAAAUUAUUGUAAAAUUUAAUACAGUCUCAAAAAAGAAAAAAAUAAAAAUUUAGAUUAACCAUCAUCUAAAUCAUCAAAAUGAGGUGAGUGCUCCCUUCCUAUUGAUAUUUUCCCCUACCCCAAGAUGUAUCCUUGAUGAAAGCUACCACCUGUCAGAGGUGCAUGUUGGGUUGGCUUACGUAUG
rnacentral:lncRNA from 1 species